GUACUUACCUGGAAGGGGAGAUAAAAGGAUCAGGAAGAUGGUUUUCCCAAGGUGAGGCUUAUCCAUUGCUUGGCAAUCUUGAGCGAAUCAUUGGACCUCUCCUUCCUCUACUGAGAAUGAUGACUUUAGUAAGUGAUC
rnacentral:snRNA from 1 species